CCCAGCCCUGGCUUCCAUCCCAGGCACAGAGAUAUCCCAGCAGAUAUUGGCGCUGCAGCAGAACUUGAGCUUGAACUGCAAAAUCAUUCCUGCACUUUUUCUACACUUAGUUCAAAAUCACAGAAGAGCAAUAAUCAUCAAGAGAGGAUUGUCCCAGUUGCCAUGGAGCCACCAGAGGAGAAAAAUAUGAGCCACCAGCU